AGCCGGGCGCGCGGGGUCUUCAGUGUUUUAAUUUGGGGGAGUCGCGUGGUGCCAGCCAGACUUUGAAUUGAACCUGAAUCUGCUGCGUGACUUGGAUCAAGGGACUUCAGAUUGCAUGGCUGCACCGCACACGUUACGGAGGCCACGUGUUCUGGGGGGUGGGCUAUAGACUUAGUCAUUCACGUUCUGAGUGGUAAGGAGGACUACAAGGGCGGCUGUUUCCGGCCUCUGGACGCUGGGUUCCGGUGGGCAGGAAUGAUGCUCAGGGCCGGGCCUGGUGGCCUUGGGGCUGGGCCGCGGCUGGGGUUGACCUGUGCGACGCAGUGGCCCUUAUCGAAGCUGCAGCUGCUUCCGCGUAGCUGCUGCGGUCAAAAAGGAGCCCAGAGUGACAGUUUUCCUUGACGGUCGCCGUUCCGUUUGCUGUAACUGAUCUGCAACAUUUCAGGAAAAGACAAUUCUCAUUGUUGUAUCUGCUGUUUCUCACAUAAACGGGUCCUUAUUCAAGUUGGCAUGUCUCCAGAGGCCAGCAGAAAUGUUGGUAGUGUGCAGCGAUUUCCAACCGGUGUGUCACGAAUUUUUAAGACGAUGCAAUACCGGGGCACUGAUCUCUCUACCCUUAGAUGGUUUAGUCUGUGCCAUGAGAUGGAAAGGUUGAAUGUUGCUGUGAUAGGGACUUGCCUAUAGAAUGAACACAAUAAGGCUUUUGGGAAGUAGCUUGUUGAGGCCCACCAAACUAGUAUGGGGGGCUUAGACAUCAAUAUGGGGAAACCCAGUGGCAAGCAGCACAGGUCUUGGCCAUGCUUUAGGUCAUUGCCCUCGGGAGUUAAAGGCGUUAAUACCAGGAUCAAAGGACAGUAAAACGUAUAUGAUUCUCCAGACCAAGAAAGAUCAUUCAUGACAGUUUCUGUUCUUGUCUUCGCGGUGCCAGAUGAAGCUUGCGGGAUGCUUCAAGUUGAUUCUGCCGGGUGAGCACUCUGGAGUCAUGACAGUGAUGGACGCAACCACUGCAGGACCUGGUAGGUUUCUUGUGAGGCUUCAUUUGAGAGCUGCCUGGUGGGUCGGGGCAGCAUGUUCCCAAGGGCUGUGGCUGGCUGUAGCCAUAGGCUCUCCAACUGCAUGCGAGAGCAACCUGGAGAGACUUUGACAGUGCAGAUUGCCUCCCUGUUUCUUGGAGCGUCUGAUAAUGACAUCACUGAGAAUACCAGCCUGUUGCUGCUCCUGUGCUUUAGAAUAAGAUCUGUUACCAGGAAACUGUCUUUAUCUGUAAUUAAGGAUCUACAGGUUGGGAGAGCUCUAUGGUAAGAAGGAAGCUAAAGACAACUGUGUGAAGGUGAUGGGACUGUUCUACUUACAUCUCAGCUCCUCCAUGCUCCAAGGACUGCUGGUUUUUGAAAUAGGCCUUUUGUCCCCCCUUAUUGUGGGGCAGGUUCCUUAUUCAUCCUGCCCUGCAGCAUGGGUUGUCUUGUGCUGCAUUCCCUUAAUAAAUUCGUGAUGUAA